GAAAGCCGUAUGCGGGAAAACCGCACGUACGGUUUGAUGAGGAUGGGGGAAUCCCGGCCCUUAACUCUAC
rnacentral:ncRNA from 1 species